rnacentral:piRNA from 1 species
UACAACUCACACCAACUUAACAACAGUUACC